rnacentral:rRNA from 1 species
GAUGAACGCUGGCGGCGUGCUUAACACAUGCAAGUCGAACGGAAAGGCCCAAGCUUGCUUGGGUACUCGAGUGGCGAACGGGUGAGUAACACGUGGGUGAUCUGCCCCGCACUUCGGGAUAAGCCUGGGAAACUGGGUCUAAUACCGGAUAGGACCACAUUUUGGAUGGUGUGGUGGAAAGUUUUUCGGUGUGGGAUGAGCUCGCGGCCUAUCAGCUUGUUGGUGGGGUAAUGGCCUACCAAGGCGUCGACGGGUAGCCGGCCUGAGAGGGUGUACGGCCACAAUGGGACUGGGGUUCGGGCCCGACCCCCUCCGGGGGCAGGAGGUGGGAAUAUUGCACAAUGGGCGCAAGCCUGAUGCAGCGACGCCGCGUGGGGGAUGACGGCCUUCGGGUUGUAAACUCCUUUCGCUAGGGACGAAGCGCAAGUGACGGUACCUGGAGAAGAAGCACCGGCUAACUACGUG